UAUCUCUGUAGAGUCCUGCAUAUCAAUAAGCGGAGGAAAAGAAACUAACUAGGAUUCCCUCAGUAACGGCGAGUGAAGCGGGAAGAGCUCAAAUUUGAAAUCUUCAAGGUUCUACCUUGACGAAUUGUAGUUUAAAGAAGUGUUUUCUGUUGGAGUUUUGGUAAAAGUUCUUUGGAAUAGGACAUCAUAGAGGGUGAGAAUCCCGUAUUUGACCAUUAUUUCCAGCUUUGUGAUACACUUUCAAAGAGUCGGAUUGUUUGGGAAUGCAGUCCAAAAUGGGUGGUAAAUUUCAUCUAAAGCUAAAUACUGGCGAGAGACCGAUAGCGAACAAGUACCGUGAGGGAAAGAUGAAAAGAACUUUGAAAAGAGAGUUAAACAGUACGUGAAAUUGUCAAAAGGGAAGCGUUUGACACCAGUGUUGUUUUCUCGAAAAUCAAUUAAAAAAGGCAGGAUUUUGUGUUGUAUUGACUUUAUCAGCUUUCUGCACUCUUUUCUUGUCUUUUUUAAUGCACUUUUCGUUUGACAAGUCAACAUCAAUUUCUUUUGUUGUAAAAGGGUCAUUGGAAGGUGGCUUUCUUUUCGGAGAAAGUGUUUAUAGCCUUUGGCCUCUGCAAUCGGAGAGAUUGAGGUCUGCAGCGUAGAUCCUUGGGGUUAGAUACAUUUGUGCUAAGUUAUAGCCUUUCAUAGACAACUUGUUGACUAUGAUCAGUCAUGUAGCUUACUCGCUUAUGCUAUUUUACCUACGCUUAGGAUGUUGACGAUCAGCUGAGCGCG
rnacentral:rRNA from 1 species